rnacentral:lncRNA from 1 species
UCGGGUUGAGCGGCACAUAUUGGUCUAAAAAGGCCAACAUCCUGCUCUAUGGCGGGAGACCAGGUUGGGUUUAGUCAUGUUCGAAAUGGCAUGAAGCCGGAUUGAGCUGAGUCAUCUUCGAAGUGGCGUGAGGCUGGUUGGACCAAGUCACAAUUGAGACCCGUGGACGCUGCUUUUGUAUACUUUGUUGCAUAAGUCCAACAAUUCGAGCUUUCGGGAUUAAUGAUUAGUGCCAACGAUCUGACAGCACGGAUGACAUGAGGUGCAGGCUGCGCAAGGUCGUGUU